rnacentral:rRNA from 1 species
ACGGAGGAUGCAAGCGUUGUUCGGAAUUAUUGGGCGUAAAGGGCGUGUAGGCGGUUAGCUAAGUCAGAUGUGAAAUCCCUAGGCUUAACCUUGGAAUUGCAUUUGAAACGGGUUUUCUUGAGUGCGGGAGAGGAAAAUAGAAUUCCUGGUGUAGCGGUGAAAUUCGUAGAUAUUGGGAAGAACACCAGUGGCGAAGGCGAUGCUCUGGUCCGUCUCUGACGCUGAGGAGCGAAAGUGUGGGUAGCGAACGG